CUGUGAACCCGCGCUGGCGGGAGUAGCUACUGACCGCUGGGGACCCCUGCCCAGGCUGCUCCCAUGUGGAAAGGAUUCAGGGAGCAGGCGAUGCUUAGCCGAAAGCGUGGAGACCAGCGCUGCUCUCUCCCCAGCGACAGUAUAGAUGUGCCCUGUACAGGAGGGUGCUGUCUGACGCCAGACACCCGGACUACAAAUCGCAACCCCAUUCCUGAUUUCAUGAGGCCCCUUGCCCAGAAUGUCCACGUUUGAAACCUCCCAACACCAAGCCCCAUUUCAAGUAUAACCAGGAGGGAAAAUGGUGCUUGAAAUAAGCAUGCCGCAAAGGAACACCUGCUUUCUCUAAAUGGGCUCUGGCCGCCCAGGCCCUGACCUCCCUGGCCAGGAUGGAACGUUCCAGAGACCUAUUAGUGCCAAAGGCAAAUUAAAACACACCCUGUGAAAAUGUC
rnacentral:lncRNA from 1 species